UUCCAGACUCCUACGGGAGGCAGCAGUGGGGAAUAUUGCACAAUGGGGGAAACCCUGAUGCAGCGACGCCGCGUGAGUGAAGAAGUAUUUCGGUAUGUAAAGCUCUAUCAGCAGGGAAGAAAAUGACGGUACCUGAAGAAGAAGCCCCGGCUAACUACGUGCCAGCAGCCGCGGUAAUACGUAGGGGGCAAGCGUUAUCCGGAUUUACUGGGUGUAAAGGGGGCGCAGACGGCGAUGCAAGCCAGGAGUGAAAGCCCGGGGCCCAACCCCGGGACUGCUCUUGGAACUGCGUGGCUGGAGUGCAGGAGGGGCAGGCGGAAUUCCUGGUGUAGCGGUGAAAUGCGUAGAUAUCAGGAGGAACACCGGUGGCGAAGGCGGCCUGCUGGACUGCAACUGACGUUGAGGCCCGAAAGCGUGGGGAGCAAACAGGAUUAGAUCCCCUAGUA
rnacentral:rRNA from 1 species